rnacentral:rRNA from 1 species
GGAAUAUUGCACCAUGGGCGAAAGCCUGAUGCAGCAACGCCGCGUGAGUGAUGAAGGCCCUCGGGUCGUAAAACUCUUUUCAAGAGGAAGAGGAAGGACGGUACUCUUGGAAUAAGCCUCGGCUAACUACGUGCCAGCAGCCGCGGUAACACGUAGGAGGCGAGCGUUAUUCGGAUUUACUGGGCGUAAAGCGCGUGUAGGCGGCUCAUUAAGUUGGAUGUGAAAGCUCCUGGCUUAACUGGGAGAGGACGUUCAAAACUAGUAAGCUUGAGUACGAGAGAGGAAAAUGGAAUUCCGGGUGUAGUGGUGAAAUGCGUAGAUAUCCGGAGGAACACCAGUGGCGAAGGCGAUUUUCUGGCUCGAGACUGACGCUCAGACGCGAAAGCUAGGGUAGCAAACGG